rnacentral:lncRNA from 8 species
GGGUCAGGUCUCAGGUCCAGGGUCAGGUCUCAGGUCCAGGGUCAGGUCUCAGGUCCAGGGUCAGGUCUCAGGUCCAGGGUCAGGUAUUAUGUUUGUGACUUUACCUGAACCCUAUUAAAAACCUGGAUCUUCCUCUCACUCUCUCUCUCUGUCCUUCUCUCCCCCCUCAGGUCUCCUCUGGGUGGUCUCCUCUCCUCCUCCUACAGACAGCAUCAGGAGUCCCUGUCGGCCGAGAGAGAGAGACGACGUGCAGAGAGAGAGGAAAGACUGCAGAGGAUAGAGAGAGAGGAGAGGAACAAACACAGUCGAGACUAUGUGGACAAAAUGGAAGAAGCCAGGAUGGCACGGGAUGAGAGGUAUAAGCGCGUGGUGUUUGAGACCUUUGACCGAGUGGAAGCCUGCCCCCCUCUCUCCUCCCUGGCGUCUCAGGACCAGGAACCAGAGGAACCAGAGGAACCAGAGGAACCAGACACACCCUCAGAGACUGAACAACUGAAGCCAGAGCCCUUCACUUCCUGUCUAGAACCAGAAGUGGUAGAAGAGGUAGCAGAGGAGGAAGAGGUAGCAGAGGAAGAAGAGGAGGAAGAGGUAGAAGAGGAAGAAGGGGAGGAAGAGGUAGAAGAGGAAAAUAAUGAAAGAAAUAAACCUAAGCAUGACGCAGAGGAAGAAACAAGAGCAGGGAACGAGGAAGAAGAGGAGGAGGGGCAAGAGGAGGAAGAGGUUGAGACAACGCCAGAGAAGGAAGAGGAGAGGGAGGAUGGGGAAGAGGACAGUGGGAUCCUGAGCGACAAGGAACGACAGAAUGAAGAAGUGAAUGAGAAAGACAAUGUCUCGGCCUCCAGUAUCUCAUCUCCCAGCAGGACCCUGGAGAGAGAGGAGAGGGGGAGCAAUGACAAUGGUGAGAUUGACCUGUUGACACUAGAAAAGCGUAACCAGUGAAGAACAAACACCAUUGUAAAUAAAACCCAUAUUUAUGUUUAUUUAUUUUCCCUUUUGUACUUUAACUAUUUGCACAUCAUUACAACACUGUAUAUAGACAUAAUAUGACAUUUGAAAUGUCUUUAUUCUUUGAGAGAGAGAGAGAGAGAGAGACUCUUUAGAGGAUCCGGUAGGUCACUUCAGUAGAAUCCACUGCCAAUCACUGAGACGUAGUCACAGCAUUUAAUG